ensembl:lncRNA
AAUGACAAACUCAUCCCAAAUCCUAGCAGAGGGGAGCUGCUUAUCUCAACAGUCAAAGAGUCAGAUGAAGGUUUUUAUAAAUGUAGUGGAAGUAAAUCACCUCAAGGUUUGGAGAAUGUGACCUCAGCAGCGAGCUGGUUGUCAGUGAAAUAUCCUGAAGAAACAGCUUCAAGCUCUGUGUUUCCCGUGCUGUUGGUUGUUGGUCUGAUUUCUGGAGUUUUACUUAUUCUCGUGCUGCUGUUUCUGCGUAGCUACAGAAAGUCAAAAGGUUCACGCGUCAGCAGGUCUCAGAGGACCAAUCAGAGCCCAGCUACAGACCACAUGAUCAACCAGGGUGAUACUCAAGACGGACAUUACGCUCCUCUUCAACCUGGUGAUUCUUGUCUCUAUGAAAUGAUCGAAGGCUCUGAAGAACCUAAACAUGGAACGGAUGAUGAACCAGACGAGAACAUUUACGCAAAUGUGACGAUGGAAACAGCUGCAGAUGGAUAAAAACAUCUGCAUGGACAGAACCAGGGGAACGGAUGAUGACAUGAAAAACCACAUCUUUGUCUUUUUGAGUAAUUAUUGUGUGAACUUCUUUCCUUUAUAUGAGAGUAUUUUCUAGUUAACCCAUCAGCAGAUCAUUUAAAGGAAAUGCAUCAUAUGUCUUUAAAAGUUUUACUGAAAAAAGCAGAUUAUUAUACUUACUAAAAUGUUGGUGUUGAGUGUUUAAUGUACAUAUCGUGUAAAUGUAUAAUUUUUUUCUCUUCAGUCACUUUGUUUUUAAAGCUUUUUUGAAUGAAGUCUUGUUUGAAAAGCAGAAAAAAGCAGUAUGACGUCUUUGAGCUUCAGUACGUUGGUGAUAUUAUUCAAUAUGAAGUUGUCUUUUAUUUCUGAUUAAUAAAAGCUUUACACAUUUAGUUAAUGAAAAAACAAACAAAUAUGUAAUAAUUCAAAUUAUUGUAUUAGCAAUAUUCUUAUUAAAGUAUACAUACCUCAUGUUGCCAUUCUGUACGCUGAGUUUUAGUAGCCUAUAGAUUAAUUUAACAUACAUACCUGUGUUAUGUCCCCCGACUUGACUCCGCCCCCUCCUGAGAAGAGGGCGGGGGUAAUAAUCUCUCAGGUGACUCACCUGGAGCUGAGAGACAUCAGGCGAUUAGUGGGCUAGAUAAAGGCUCCCUGACCAGGUGCUCUGGGGUUCUCUUCUCUUCCUGAGAACAAGCGGACCUUCUGUAAUUGUAUUUACUGAGGUUCAAACCUUACGCACGCCUUGUUUAUCUCCGUUGUUCCGCCUUUGCCAAGGCUACAUUUGUGUGUUACGCCUGUGCAUCACUUGGCACGAUAGGCAGGCCGUAACACCAUGGUUAUAAUUAUUCAUAAGUAUGCAGUGUCAUAAAUACAUCUAUGUACAGGGUGAGGAUUUCAACACGCAGCAUUUCUUGAUGAAUAUUUGUAAAGGGAAAUCUUGUACCUGUUUUAGAAAAUUAUUCAUGCGUAUGCAGUGUCAUAACUACAUAUCUGACGUUCAUAACAAACCAAACUGUUUAAAAAUCGGUUUAAUAUUGAGCAAGUUAUGGUUAUUUGAAUAGUACGGACGUUCUAGACUCCGCUGUAACACAUCUAGCUAGCUAUCGCUAGCUAUAUAUAUAUAUAUUUAUAUAUAUAUAUAUAUAUAUAUAUAAAUAAUAUCUCUAUGGACACGCUGUCCUCACUUCUAAAACUAACCGUAACUCUUGACUAGCGCCGUUGUAGUUUUACCUCUUUUAACUGCAUUUGAGGUAAGGAAUUACUGACAGAAUGGCAGAAUGAACAACCAAAAAAAGAGAAAACGCCUCCCUUCUUAAGAGGGAUUUCUGUCAUGUCAAGCUCGAACAGGACACAUACGCAGACUGCAUUGGUGGGGAGAACAAAGAACAGUUUAUUUACGUAGAUCCAAAAAUAACGAAAAAACACCAAUAGUCCGAAACAUUCUGGUUUCUGGCGCUGGGGUUUGGGUUUGGUGGGGAGGAAUCCAGCAGGGUUAAAUACCCCCCUGGUCGGGAACUGAAGACAGGUGUGUAAUUGGCAGCAGCUGAGCGUCCUCAAGGUCCACGGCCCGUUGUCAUGACUACUGGAAAAACAUCAACAGACGGCCGCGCACACCAACAACUUGAUCACGGCGUGGCUGUCGUAAACAUCUCAGCUUUGCUACUAUCACAAGAUGAAAUCACAUCAUAUGUCUUAAUCUCUGCACCUCCUGUCGCUACAUAGAAAAAAUAAAUUGGGGUUGAAAUGAGGAAGACUUUACUUAAGUGUCCCCCAGCAUAUAUUUCACUCCCAUGUGUUUACAUGCUGGAAUAACAAUGUGAAACCGAUUAGACAAUAGAAUGUGACAUGGUGAUUGGUUAUGAAACAGCAUACAAAUGUGUCUUCUCUUCCCCACUUUGUCAAAUCACAGGCGCUCUAAUGAUACAAAACAAUAACUAGGACAAGGGGGCCCUCUACAGGUGUUGUCUCUCUCUGGUGGGAGUUUGAAGGAAGGAAAGUAACAAAUAGUCCCGCAUGUCUCCACUAGAGGACAGUGUGUGUCCACGCAGCAGCAGCGAGGUGUUUACCUGUAAGAGUUGUUUCAUUCUGACACAGUGUACUGGUAAAAUAUGUUAUAACAUUGUUUUGUGCUAAAGCCGUGUCUCAAGUGUCCUGUAUUUGACCCUGAUGUGCAAAGAGCAGUAUGAUACAAAAUGUUGGUUUGCAGCUGUGCUCUGAGAAGGGAGGACGGUUGACUCGAUCUCAUAGAAGCUUCAAAGCAAAGGACGCCUCUUCAUGGCCUUGGUUGAUAUCUUAUUCUGCACGAAAGUUCUGGAUCCAAGUUUUACUUUUAUGUCAAGUAACAAUGAUUUGCAGCGGCCAUUGAGGAGGAUCUUGUGUGUGUGUGUGCUACCCUCAGCUUCACCUGGGUU